AUGCUCACUUUCACAACACAUAUACUAAAACUGGAAUGACACAGAGAUUAACAUGGCCCCUCAGCAAGGAUGACAUGCAAAUUCAUGAAGUGUUCCAUAUUAAA
ensembl:snRNA U6 U6 spliceosomal RNA